UACGAAGGGGGCUAGCGUUGCUCGGAAUCACUGGGCGUAAAGGGUGCGUAGGCGGGUCAUGAAGGCUGUGGUGAAAGUCCGGGGCUCAACCUCGGAUCGGCCGUGGCGACUCGUGGGCUGGAGCACUGUAGAGGCGGGUGGAAUUCCGGGUGUAGCGGUGGAAUGCGUAGAGAUCCGGAAGAACACCAGUGGCGAAGGCGGCCCGCUGGGCAGUGGCUGACGCUGAGGCGCGACAGCGUGGGGAGCAAACAGG
rnacentral:rRNA from 1 species